UGGCCGCUCUCCAUCAAACCCUGCCGGUUACUGAAGACUGAAGAUGAGCCUGUCUUCCUGCUACUUUUGUGACUGUAUUUUAAACAUUUUUUUUAUUGUUUUUAAUAAACUAAUACACUUAGAUGGUGGGACCUUCUGUUUUUUUAGGGGGUUGCAGAAGCAGCUGAGGCUCCCUCAACCUCUAGGACCAGUUCUCCUGCAGCCUUCUUUCUAAGCCGCUCUCAACUGCGGUUGCAAGCUCGCCCCCUUCAGGUGAUCCUGCAAAUAACCUACUACCUGUCCCUGAGUGGAUACGUUUACUAUUCCACCAUCUAUGGAGGGAGCCAAGGUGGCCACCCAGACUGAACUACAAACAUGAUACCGGUUAUGGUUAAAUCUUGAUCCAUUCCAAUCCCUCAAUGCACUCCAGACUGGUUUGCUUGAUACAAUUACGUGAAAAGUUUUUUGGAUCAAAAUGUCACCUUUAUUUGUUGGAAUAAAAUUUCUUAGCAGUGGUGCUGCUGCUUUUCUGUAUUUACCUUGGCAUAAGGAGCUGGUGAUAAUAAAUAACUAAAAUUGAACAAAUUUAUAAUAAACAGAAAAGACACGUG